UACCGUAACCCCCCCCAGAGAGGAGCAGGGGAGAAUCCCAGGGGAACCACCCAGCAGCCACAGUGCAGAAGCUCCAGGGAGCUGCAGCGACGAGCCCAUAGGCUCCGCCGGCAGCCGUCUACGCCCAAGCAGAUGCAGCCAUGGGCCCCGAGACCCCGGGACAUAUCACUCCCCAAGCAGAGGCCUGACCGAGCCCAGGGGUCCAGGCCCCGGCAAGCAGCCACCAGGAGUGAGCCAGCACACACCAAAGCAACCAGCCCCGGAUACCGAGAACCACAAGUACACCGGCGGGCAGAGAUACCAACAACUGGCAUUUGGUGAGGGAAUAGGCCCCACAUUCGAUGGGGGCCUAAACUGAUCCAGAAGAGGGAGCUGCCCAAGACCCAACCUGACACAAAAAACAGUUUGGGACCAUGAAAAGCAGUCAGCUUGCAUGAUUCAUUUGCACUCUGGAUGUGGCGUGUGGAAUAUCUCCUGCUCUGACUGCAGCUGAAAGGGACAGCUGUGUGAGGACUGGUCUGCCUGCAUGCUUUGGGACUGGGGAGGAGCCUAGGGCUACACACGCUAUUUGAGAACGGUCCCCAGAGGAACUCGACCGAGGGACACAGCGCGCUAAUGUCUCUUUGCUGGCAAACAGACAUAACUCUUCAAACUAGAUCCAAGAGUGUCAAACGGUCACACAAUCAU